rnacentral:rRNA from 1 species
UACGUAGGGUGCAAGCGUUAAUCGGAAUUACUGGGCGUAAAGCGUGCGCAGGCGGUUAUGUAAGACAGGUGUGAAAUCCCCGGGCUCAACCUGGGAACUGCAUCUGUGACUGCAUCGCUGGAGUGCGGCAGAGGGGGAUGGAAUUCCGCGUGUAGCAGUGAAAUGCGUAGAUAUGCGGAGGAACACCGAUGGCGAAGGCAAUCCCCUGGGCCUGCACUGACGCUCAUGCACGAAAGCGUGGGGAGCAAACAGG